rnacentral:rRNA from 1 species
AACGAACGCUGGCGGCAUGCCUAACACAUGCGAGUCGAACGAGACCUUCGGGUCUAGUGGCGCACGGGUGCGUAACGCGUGGGAACCUGCCCUUAGGUUCGGAAUAACUCCCCGAAAGGGGUGCUAAUACCGGAUAAUGUCUUCGGACCAAAGAUUUAUCGCCUUUGGAUGGGCCCGCGUUGGAUUAGCUAGUUGGUAGGGUAAAAGCCUACCAAGGCGACGAUCCAUAGCUGGUCUGAGAGGAUGAUCAGCCACACUGGGACUGCGACACGGCCCAGACUCCUACGGGAGGCAGCAGUGGGGAAUAUUGGACAAUGGGCGAAAGCCUGAUCCAGCAAUGCCGCGUGAGUGAUGAAGGCCUUAGGGUUGUAAAGCUCUUUUACCCGGGAUGAUAAUGACAGUACCGGGAGAAUAAGCUCCGGCUAACUCCGUG